ACACAAGGAAAGAGGCGAUCCUCUUGCUAUAAACUGAAAAGUAUCCAACAAGAAGAAAAGCAGGAGAUUUUAGUGUGACUUAAUGUAGCCCCUCUUCCUACAGAAUGAUACAAAGAGCCAAAAGAAGAACUGGACAGAGCUGUCUGCUUGAAGCAUGAGCAAGAUGAAAAGAAGCAAUAUGGUUACUAAGCAAGCAUUUUGCA
rnacentral:lncRNA from 1 species